GGAAGAGGGAAGAGGACUUCACAUUAAUUAAUGAACACUGAGAGCCCACAGCUGCUCUGUUCAGACAACAAGCCACAGAUCUGCUUCAAAGAGUCGUGUGGCUCUUUGUCCUGCACACUUCAUUCAUGCAGCCACAUCUCGAGUUGUGUGAUUUGGUUUCAUCCAGGUGGAAGCGUGAAUCACUUCACAACAGGCUACAGCUGCUGAGACACCCUUCCAUUAACCCCAGGGAUUGCAAGCCUAAGUCUAGAGUCUAAAACUGCCCAAGUGCAUCGCAGACAAACUGCCAGCAACAGGGACAACAGCAGGAUGGGGACCAGCCAGAGGGUAGGAAAUAGGGGUUGCCUUUGGUGAGCAA